AACCUUCGAUUUGGAGAACUUAGGAACUGUUGGCCUCAGCUUUUCGAUGGUUGUCUUCGAUUCGAGCAGCUUCGAUUGUGAUUGGGGUUCACACAUCGUCAUCUUCUUUCUUUUUGGAGGCCCCGACUCUAGAAGUGGCAUCGAGCUCUCCUUCCUCUUCAGCAGCUUCAUAGCAACAUUACUUGUGAGAUCUUUGAAAUUAAGCUUCAUUUUUGUGACAACAGAAAUGACGACCACCGAUUAGCUACAAAUAACCA
rnacentral:lncRNA from 1 species